rnacentral:rRNA from 1 species
UGGGGAAUAUUGGACAAUGGGCGAAAGCCUGAUCCAGCCAUGCCGCGUGUGUGAAGAAGGUCUUCGGAUCGUAAAGCACUUUAAGUUGGGAGGAAGGGCAGUUACCUAAUACGUGAUUGUUUUGACGUUACCGACAGAAUAAGCACCGGCUAACUCUGUGCCAGCAGCCGCGGUAAUACAGAGGGUGCAAGCGUUAAUCGGAAUUACUGGGCGUAAAGCGCGCGUAGGUGGUUAGUUAAGUUGG